rnacentral:rRNA from 1 species
GGAAUUUUGGACAAUGGGCGCAAGCCUGAUCCAGCAAUGCCGCGUGAGUGAAGAAGGCCUUCGGGUUGUAAAGCUCUUUUGUCAGGGAAGAAACGGUGGGAGCUAAUAUCUCCUGCUAAUGACGGUACCUGAAGAAUAAGCACCGGCUAACUACGUGCCAGCAGCCGCGGUAAUACGUAGGGUGCAAGCGUUAAUCGGAAUUACUGGGCGUAAAGCGUGCGCAGGCGGUUUUGUAAGUCUGAUGUGAAAUCCCCGGGCUCAACCUGGGAAUUGCAUUGGAGACUGCAAGGCUAGAAUCUGGCAGAGGGGGGUAGAAUUCCACGUGUAGCAGUGAAAUGCGUAGAUAUGUGGAGGAACACCGAUGGCGAAGGCAGCCCCCUGGGUCAAGAUUGACGCUCAUGCACGAAAGCGUGGGGAGCAAACAGGAUUAGAUACCCGAG